AUUAAUUUGAGAGUUUGAUCCUGGCUCAGGACGAACGCUGGCGGCGUGCCUAAUACAUGCAAGUCGAACGAACUCUGGUAUUGAUUGGUGCUUGCAUCAUGAUUUACAUUUGAGUGAGUGGCG
rnacentral:rRNA from 1 species